rnacentral:tRNA from 1 species
GGGGCUAUGGCGCAGCUGUUAGCGCACACACUCUGGCAGUGUGGGGGUCAGGGGUUCGAGUCCCCUUAGCUCCA